GACGAACGCUGGCGGCGUGCCUAACACAUGCAAGUCGAGCGGUUCUGUAGCUGACACUGAGCGACCGGUGGGAACCGGUGGCUGAGUGUCAGUUACAGGAUAGCGGCGGACGGGUGAGUAACGCGUGGGCAACCUGCCUCACACAGGGGGGAUAACACUGGGAAACUAGUGCUAAUACCGCAUGACAUCACACUAUGGCAUCAUAGAGUGAUCAAAGGAGGAAUCCGGUGUGAGAUGGGCCCGCGUCCGAUUAGCUAGUUGGCAGGGUAACGGCCUACCAAGGCGACGAUCGGUAGCCGAACUGAGAGGUUGAUCGGCCACAUUGGGGACUGGAGACACGGCCCAGACUCCUACGGGAGGCAGCAGUGGGGAAUAUUGCGCAAUGGGGGAAACCCUGACGCAGCAACGCCGCGUGAAGGAAGAAGGUCUUCGGAUUGUAAACUUCUUUGAUGAGGGACGAAGAAUGACGGUACCUAAAACAAGCCACGGCUAACUACG
rnacentral:rRNA from 1 species